GUUCUCGAAGUGAAUUAUCCAAGAUGGCAGGUGUACUGAAGUUCUCAAAGUGAAUUAUCCAAGAUGGCAGGUGUACUGAAGUUCUCGAAGUGAAUUAUCCAAGAUGGCAGGUGUGUGGAAGUUCUUGAAGUGAAUUAUCCAAGAUGGCAGGUGUACUGAAGUUCUCAAAGUGAAUUAUCCAAGAUGGCAGGUGUACUGAAGUUCUCAAAGUGAAUUAUCCAAGAUGGCAGGUGUACUGAAGUUCUCAAAGUGAAUUAUCCAAGAUGGCAGGUGUACUGAAGUUCUCAAAGUGAAUUAUCCAAGAUGGCAGGUGUACUGAAGUUCUCAAAGUGAA